rnacentral:lncRNA from 1 species
CCACAAUGGUGGGCUAUCGCCUGGAGUUGUGAGCUGAAAUAAGUAAACUCUUUCCCUCUUAGGUUGCUUCUUGUCAGUUCUAAAACUUUUUAAAUUAGUUAAAUAAGAAAAAAAAAUAUUUUGUCACAGCAACAGAAGGAAGACGAGAGUGGACACUGGUGUCAUCUACCUUGGUCUCCUAAUUGGUGUCACAGGGAUCGUGCCCGACCCACAGGAUGCUUGUGAAGAGUGAUGACCAAAGGAUCACGUAUCGAUUGCUUUAAUGUGUUCUCUGUAAGAUGGCCACAGAAAGGGAGGAAGAAAAUGGAGGAUUGGCCGUCACCUCUAAGGGCUGGGGACUGUCCAUCAGGUGUGUAUCCUGGAGGAACAAUGAAACACAGGUUGGUGAGUUUUCACUUUGUCUCUGCCACUGUUAAGUCAUGACAUUGAGAGAUAAACUGGGCCCACUUAACCCCACUAUUUAACCUCAGAACUGAUUCCAGGAAAGCUACACGUGUGCUUGUCGCUGACCGAAGCCCAAAUCUCUUACUGAAGAUAAGCAC